CCUACGGGAGGCAGCAGUGAGGAAUAUUGGUCAAUGGGCGCGAGCCUGAACCAGCCAAGUCGCGUGAGGGAAGACGGUCCUAUGGAUUGUAAACCUCUUUUGUCGGGGAGCCAAAGACGCCACGCGUGGCGUUCCGAGAGUACCCGAAGAAAAAGCAUCGGCUAACUCCGUGCCAGACGCCGCGGUAAUACGGAGGAUGCGAGCGUUAUCCGGAGUUAUUGGGUUUAAAGGGUGCGCAGGCGGAAGAUCAAGUCAGCGGUAAAAUUGAGAGGCUCAACCUCUUCGAGCCGUUGAAACUGGUUUUCUGGAGUGAGUGAGAAGUAUGCGGAAUGCGUGGGGUAGCGGUGAAAUGCAUAGAUAUCACGCAGAACUCCGAUUGCGAAGGCAGCAUACCGGCGCUCAACUGACGCUCAUGCACGAAAGUGUGGGUAUCGAACAGGAUUAGAUACCCCUGUAGUC
rnacentral:rRNA from 1 species